rnacentral:lncRNA from 1 species
AUUAUUAAUGCUAGCCAACAUCAUAUCAUUGUGAGGUGGGCUUGGUAAUAGUGAGCCUCCCAUACCCUACUAGGAGUUUCAUCCAAAACUCUCGAAUUCCAAUGAGGGAUAUGGAAUUUGCCAAAAAUAGUGGGUGGUGCUAUUUGAUUUAAAGACCCGAAUCAAAUGGUUUAAAAUCAAUCAAUUUAUAUUCGUUAUGUAUUUGUUUACCAAUAUAUUUGCAAACGCUAUCCAAAACUUGACAAAGAAAAGCCGAAUGCUUUAGUUUCCGGACUUGGUAACACAAUCCUAAAGAUUGUCUUAAAUGGAUUGUAUAUGUACCUAAGUAGUCUCAUCCUCACAAUCUUCCUAUUGAUAAUGUAUCAUUAGAAGAAUAUGUU